rnacentral:rRNA from 1 species
AGGGAAUAUUGGACAAUGGGGGCAACCCUGAUCCAGCCAUGCCGCGUGAGUGAAGAAGGCCCUCGGGUUGUAAAGCUCUUUUGUCCGGAAAGAAAAGCAUUCGGUGAAUACCCGGAUGUUCUGACGGUACCGGAAGAAUAAGCACCGGCUAACUUCGUGCCAGCAGCCGCGGUAAUACGAAGGGUGCAAGCGUUACUCGGAAUUACUGGGCGUAAAGCGUGCGUAGGUGGUUGUUUAAGUCUGAUGUGAAAGCCCUGGGCUCAACCUGGGAAUGGCAUUGGAAACCGGGCAGCUAGAGUGCGGUAGAGGGUAGUGGAAUUCCCGGUGUAGCAGUGAAAUGCGUAGAGAUCGGGAGGAACAUCUGUGGCGAAGGCGACUGCCUGGACCAGCACUGACACUGAGGCACGAAAGCGUGGGGAGCAAACA